GACGAACGCUGGCAGCGUGCUUAACACAUGCAAGUCGAGCGGUAAGGCCCUUUCGGGGGUACACGAGCGGCGAACGGGUGAGUAACACGUGGGUGACCUGCCCUCAGCUCUGGGAUAAGCCUGGGAAACCGGGUCUAAUACCGGAUAUGACUCCAUGACGCAUGUUGUGGGGUGGAAAGCCUUGUGCGGCUGAGGAUGGGCCCGCGGCCUAUCAGCUUGUUGGUGGGGUGANGGCCUACCAAGGCGACGACGGGUAGCCGGCCUGAGAGGACGACCAGCCACACUGGGACUGAGACACGGCCCAGACUCCUACGGGAGGCAGCAGUGGGGAAUUUUGGACAAUGGGCGCAAGCCUGAUCCAGCCAUGCCGCGUGCGGGAAGAAGGCCU
rnacentral:rRNA from 1 species